rnacentral:sRNA from 1 species
UCCAGGUGUGGUUUCAAAACCGAAGAGCCAAGUGGCGAAAGAGGGAAAGAUUUGGUCAACUUCCGGUCCGGCCACCUGGUAUUAAUGGAAAUGCCUACGAUAUGCCAUUUACACCACGGCCAGAUGGUUACACACAGCAUCCCUGACGCGAUAGACGGAAUCAUGUAGCAAUACAUCCCUGACACGAUAGACGGAAUCAUGUAGCAAUACAUCCCUGACACGAUAGACGGGAUCAUGUACCAAUACAUCCCCGACACGAUAAACGGAAUCAUGUAGCAAUACAACCCCGACACGAUAGACGGAAUCAUGUAGCAAUACAUCCCUGACACGAUAGGCGGAAUCAUGUAGCAAUACAACCCUGACACGAUAGACGGAAUCAUGUAGCAAUACAUCCCUGACACGAUAGACGGAAUCAUGUAGCAAUACAUCCCUGACAUGAUAGACGGAAUUAUGUAGCAAUACAUUCCUGACACGAUAGACGGAAUCAUGUAGCAAUACAUCCGAACGCAAUCAUGUAGCAGUAUAUUCCCGACACGAUAGACGGAAUUAUGUAGCAAUACAUCCCUGACACGAUAGACGGAAUCAUGUAGCAAUACAUCCCUGACACAAUGGACGGAAUCAUGUAGCAAUACAUCCCUGACACGAUAGACGGAAUCAUGUAGCAAUACAUCCCUGACACGAUAAACGGAAUCAUGUAGCAAUAUAUCCGAAUGCAAUCAUGUAGCCAUAUAUUCCCGACACGAUAGACGGAAUCGGGUUAAACUUAGAGUUGACCCCACAAUAUGCACAUGCAAAAUGCACGGGAUAUAUUGUUUAUAUUGCAAAUCAUUGAGACACAUAUUCAUGUCUGUCCCUCGAUGUUUCUAUGGUUAUAGUAAUAAAAUGAUGUGAUAAUCUUUAUAA